CACGUAGGGGGCAAGCGUGUCGGAUUCAUUGGUGCGUAAAGAGCGCGUAGGCGGUCCGAUAAGUCGGCUGUGAAAGUCAGGGGCUCAACCCUUGAAAGCCGGCCGAUACUGUCGGACUAGAGUCCGGAAGAGGCAAGUGGAAUUCCCGGUGUAGCGGUGAAAUGCGCAGAUAUCGGGAGGAACACCAAUGGCGAAGGCAGCUUGCUGGGACGGUACUGACGCUGAGGCGCGAAAGCGUGGGGAGCAAACAGG
rnacentral:rRNA from 1 species